rnacentral:rRNA from 1 species
GAUGUCGAUUUGGAGGUUGUGCCCUUGAGGCGUGGCUUCCGGAGCUAACGCGUUAAAUCGACCGCCUGGGGAGUACGGCCGCAAGGUUAAAACUCAAAUGAAUUGACGGGGGCCCGCACAAGCGGUGGAGCAUGUGGUUUAAUUCGAUGCAACGCGAAGAACCUUACCUGGUCUUGACAUCCACAGAACUUUCCAGAGAUGGAUUGGUGCCUUCGGGAACUGUGAGACAGGUGCUGCAUGGCUGUCGUCAGCUCGUGUUGUGAAAUGUUGGGUUAAGUCCCGCAACGAGCGCAACCCUUAUCCUUUGUUGCCAGCGGUUAGGCCGGGAACUCAAAGGAGACUGCCAGUGAUAAASUGGAGGAAGGUGGGG